AUUGAACGCUGGCGGCAGGCUUAACACAUGCAAGUCGAGCGGGGUGAUGGUGCUUGCACUAUCACUUAGCGGCGGACGGGUGAGUAAUGCUUAGGAAUCUGCCUAUUAGUGGGGGACAACAUCUCGAAAGGGAUGCUAAUACCGCAUACGUCCUACGGGAGAAAGCAGGGGAUCACUUGUGACCUCGCGCUAAUAGAUGAGCCUAAGUCGGAUUAGCUAGUUGGUGGGGUAAAGGCCUACCAAGGCGUCGAUCUGUAGCGGGUCUGAGAGGAUGAUCCGCCACACUGGGACUGAGACACGGCCCAGACUCCUACGGGAGGCAGCAGUGGGGAAUAUUGGACAAUGGGGGGAACCCUGAUCCAGCCAUGCCGCGCGUGUGAAGAAGGCCUUAUGGUUGUAAAGCACUUUAAGCGAGGAGGAGGCUCUUUUGGUUAAUACCCAAGAUGAGUGGACGUUACUCGCAGAAUAAGCACCGGCUAACUCUGUGCCAGCAGCCGCAGUAA
rnacentral:rRNA from 1 species